rfam:Daphnia pulex DAPPTscaffold_29_Cont1675, whole genome shotgun sequence.
GCAUCUGUAGUGUAGUGGUUAUCACGGUUGUCUCACACACAACAGGUCCUCAGUUCGAUCCUGGGCAGGUGCA